GGGCGAUUAGCUCAGUUGGUAGAGCAUCUCCCUUACAAGGAGGGGGUCACUGGUUCGAGCCCGGUAUCGCCCACCA
rnacentral:tRNA from 12 species